rnacentral:rRNA from 1 species
AUUGAACGCUGGCGGCAUGCCUUACACAUGCAAGUCGAACGGUAGAGGGGGCAACCUCUCGAGAGUGGCGAACGGGUGAGUAAAGCAUCGGAACGUGCCCAGUAGUGGGGGAUAGCACGGCGAAAGCCGGAUUAAUACCGCAUGAGACCUACGGGUGAACGGGGGGGAUCGCAAGACCUGUCGCUAUUGGAGCGGCCGAUGUCAGAUUAGGUAGUUGGUGGGGUAAAGGCCUACCAAGCCGACGAUCUGUAGCUGGUCUGAGAGGACGACCAGCCACACUGGGACUGAGACACGGCCCAGACUCCUACGGGAGGCAGCAGUGGGGAAUUUUGGACAAUGGGCGAAAGCCUGAUCCAGCCAUGCCGCGUGCGGGAAGAAGGCCUUCGGGUUGUAAACCGCUUUUGUCAGGGAAGAAAUCCUUUGAGUUAAUACCUCGGGGGGAUGACGGUACCUGAAGAAUAAGCACCGGCUAACUACGUGCCAGCCGCCGCAGUAA